rnacentral:rRNA from 1 species
UACGUAGGGGGCAAGCGUUGUCCGGAUUUAUUGGGCGUAAAGAGCGUGUAGGCGGCCAGAUAGGUCCGUUGUGAAAACUGGGAGGCUUAACCUCCAGCUGUCGAUGGAAACCAUCUGGCUAGAGUCCGGAAGAGGAGAGUGGAAUUCCUGGUGUAGCGGUGAAAUGCGCAGAUAUCAGGAGGAACACCGGUGGCGAAGGCGGUUAGCUGGGCAGUUGCUGACACUGAGGCGCGACAGCGUGGGGAGCAAACAGG